rnacentral:rRNA from 1 species
GACGAACGCUGGCGGCGUGCUUAACACAUGCAAGUCGAACGGAAAGGCCCUGCUUUUGUGGGGUGCUCGAGUGGCGAACGGGUGAGUAACACGUGAGUAACCUGCCCUUGACUUUGGGAUAACUUCAGGAAACUGGGGCUAAUACCGGAUAGGAGCUCCUGCUGCAUGGUGGGGGUUGGAAAGUUUCGGCGGUUGGGGAUGGACUCGCGGCUUAUCAGCUUGUUGGUGGGGUAGUGGCUUACCAAGGCUUUGACGGGUAGCCGGCCUGAGAGGGUGACCGGCCACAUGGGGACUGAGAUACGGCCCAGACGCCUACGGGAGGCAGCAGGGGAGAAUAUGGCAGAAUGGGCGGAAGCCUGAUGCAGCAACGCCGCGUGCGGGAUGACGGCCUUCGGGUUGUAAACCGCUUUCGCCUGUGACGAAGCGUGAGUGACGGUAAUGGGUAAAGAAGCACCGGCUAACUACGUG